GAGAUAACACCUGUUAUCAAUUUGAUGUAACACUCCCGAGAUCCAGGCACUGUACUAGGCACUGUGUCUGUAGUGGUGACAGUGGAUGCGGUGCUUGCUGACAGUCUAGAGGGGAGGCAGAAAAGAAAUGAUCAUCCACACAUGGAAAUGUGUUUCCAGAAGGAGGGAGCAGGCUGCGUUGGAG